GUGGGGAAUUUUGGACAAUGGGCGCAAGCCUGAUCCAGCCAUGCCGCGUGAGUGAAGAAGGCCUUCGGGUUGUAAAGCUCUUUCGGCGGGGACGAAACGGUCCGUGACAACACCACGGACUAAUGACGGUACUCGCAGAAGAAGCACCGGCUAACUACGUGCCAGCAGCCGCGGUAAUACGUAGGGUGCAGGCGUUAAUCGGAAUUACUGGGCGUAAAGCGUGCGCAGGCGGCUCCUUAAGUCAGAUGUGAAAGCCCCGGGCUUAACCUGGGAACUGCGUUUGAAACUGGGGAGCUGGAGUGUGGAAGAGGGGGGUGGAAUUCCAGGUGUAGCAGUGAAAUGCGUAGAGAUCUGGAGGAACACCGAUGGCGAAGGCAGCCCCCUGGGCUAACACUGACGCUCAUGCACGAAAGCGUGGGGAGCAAACAGGAUUAGAUACCCUGGUAGUCC
rnacentral:rRNA from 1 species